rnacentral:rRNA from 1 species
UACGUAGGGUGCAAGCGUUAAUCGGAAUUACUGGGCGUAAAGCGUGCGCAGGCGGUUAUGUAAGACAGAUGUGAAAUCCCCGGGCUCAACCUGGGAACUGCAUUUGUGACUGCAUAGCUAGAGUACGGUAGAGGGGGAUGGAAUUCCGCGUGUAGCAGUGAAAUGCGUAGAUAUGCGGAGGAAUACCGGUGGCGAAGGCGGCCCCCUGGACAAAGACUGACGCUCAGGUGCGAAAGCGUGGGGAGCAAACAGG